GAUCGGGAGACUUGACAAGAAGGACCGGGUGAACGCGCGCAGGUUGGGAAGGAAUCCCCAGGACUACCCAGCAGACCUGCAGGCUACCGUAGCGAACCCCCAGAAUCCCACAACUUGCAGGGGCAGAGGAAACUCUGCUUCCAAAGAGCGAUCGGGACCCGCAGACCUGCGGUGACCCCCGGGAGAGACCAAGAGGCGGAGCGAGCCGGAACAAGUACGGCCACGUAGGUCCUGCGAGUGACCGGAGACUGGCGAGGAGGGUGGGCGUACCCAAUACGCCUGCGCAGAAUUACAGCAGGGGCAGGGGAAACCCUGCCUUGUGUGAGGCCGCCGUGGAAGUGAGCGGAGCCAGGACACUGACCACGCCUGUCGCGGCUGUACACUGACCAUAUUAUUGUUUACCAAUUGGUAUUUUUAGUGUUAUUAACUUGACUGUUUUUAA